AUGUGUGAGGGAAGUUUGGAUACGAUUCAGACGGGCCUCCCUACUCAGCACGGACAGGGGGAAAAAAAACCUGCCAGUGCAGCUUUCUGCCAACAGCAGCUCCUAAACGUGCCAGCGCCGCUCCGGCUUUAUCAAAAGCAGCAGCAGAAACUGCAGAGCAGCAGAGGGCGUCCGGCCAGACACCGUCGGGCCACAACGGAGGUGAAGAGCGGCCACAACAAAACCAUUUUACCCCUGCCCUCAUGCAGAACAUCCGAGAAAUUCUUGGCACACUCAGUGGUAUUCCUGUGCGGCCAGUUUCAUCACGGUCACAUGAUGAAUGAGACGGCAUCAUUUACAUAAUCAACUGCUCGAGCUGGAGACACAGGAACGAAAGGAAACCUGCUUGAACUCUGGACCGCCAUCUGAACUCAGGAAACAUCUUUUGUUAUUCUUUGGGGGUAAUGAAGCCAUAUUUAGUGAACUAUGUAAAGGCACUAUGAUGUCUGGUGGAAGAAAAGUUCGCU
rnacentral:lncRNA from 1 species